rnacentral:lncRNA from 10 species
CAGUAGAGACCAGGUUUUGCUGUGUCACCCAGGCUGGAAGGCAGUGACACAAUGAUCAUAGCUCUCUGCAGUCUUGAACUCCUGAGCUGAGUGAUCCUCCCACCUUAGUCUCCUGAGUAGCUGGAACUAAUAGGUGCGCACCACCAUGCCCGGCUAGAAUAAUUAUUAUUGUCCUAUUUAAAUAUUAUUUUCAUACUUGAAACAAUAUUUUCCUGUGGUUUAGCCCUACUCAGAUAUUAGUGGAAAGCAGCUGACACAUGUAGUCCAAACCACAGUUUCAUUAAACUAAUGAGAAACUACCAGUCUAUCCUUGGAAUCCUGGGUUGUUCCAGAGGCGUAGAGUAGGAUUAGCACAGAUCUAAGGGACUCAAGCGAGUGGGGGUUCCUUAUCACCAAAACCGUAAAUGUAUUAUAGAUUCUCCUGGGAGUUCUGCUACGUUUCAGAUAGUAUGUGCUACCAGGGGAUUCCAAUUAGCAUAAGCAUAAGAAGUAACAGGACCAAACUGGGUUUUUUGUUUCACUAGAAUUAUCCUUUCCUGGGCAUUUUCUGGAAUUUAAGUACGACCCGAUGAUACAUUAGAUAACAACUGAUCAGAUUAGAUGCCCUAAACGUCCCAAAUCAUCAGGGACUAGAGAUUGAGUUACGAUUGUCCCAAUAGUAUAAAUUUGUGGUUUUGUGGGUUCAGUCUAGGUCCUGCUGCUCGCUACACAGAAAGCCAAUGACUGAGACAACGGGUAUUGCCAAGGCAAAAGGCUUUGACCAGGUGCUGCAGUGGAGGAGAUGGGAGUUCAGUCUCAAAUCCAUCUCCCCUGCCGACUAAAAUUAGGAGUUUAUAUAGCAGGAUAUUCCAGAUUCACACUUGAAAUGAUGCUUGGAAGCCCUCAGUUAAGCAAUUUCAUCCCUAUCGUGUGUCUGUGGUGGUGGUUUUCUAAAGCCCUAUGUUUUUCUGUCAGUGAUAU